rnacentral:rRNA from 1 species
AAUGAACGCUGGCGGCAUGCCUAACACAUGCAAGUCGAACGAAGGCUUCGGCCUUAGUGGCGCACGGGUGCGUAACGCGUGGGAAUCUGCCCUCAGGUUCGGAAUAACAGCGAGAAAUUGCUGCUAAUACCGGAUGAUAUCGCGAGAUCAAAGAUUUAUCGCCUGAGGAUGAGCCCGCGUAGGAUUAGCUAGUUGGUGUGGUAAAGGCGCACCAAGGCGACGAUCCUUAGCUGGUCUGAGAGGAUGAUCAGCCAAACUGGGACGGAGACACGGCCCAGACUCCUACGGGAGGCAGCAGUGUGGAAUAUUGGACAAUGGGCGAAAGCCUGAUCCAGCAAUGCCGCGUGAGUGAUGAAGGCCUUAGGGUUGUAAAGCUCUUUUACCCGGGAUGAUAAUGACAGUACCGGGAGAAUAAGCUCCGGCUAACUCCGUGCCAGCCGCCGCUGUAA